GGGGGCAGAGAGAAGAGGGGCCAGAGGAUCUGAAGCAGACUCCGACAGCAGAGAGCCAGCUUUCACAAACCGUGAGAUCAUGCCCCGAGCUGAAGUCAGAUGCCCAACCAACUGAGCCACUCAGGCGCCCCUGUAGGCAGUUUUCAAAAUGUGGCCUUCACAUGUCAACCAAGAGGCCAAAGAGUGAGAAGCAGGGGUAGGGGGGAGGUGUUAAUAACUAAUGAAAAGUGUCCUUAGCGUUGAAAAAGUUGGGUACCUACUAGUCUAUAAUGACUUUUAAGGACCUUUCUAACUCCAAAAUACUAUGAAUCAGUGAAAAGAUGCUAUUUACGGCUUUGCAUCAGGAGGUACCCAAAUGAGUUAAUCUGGACAGCCACCAUAACAGAGUGUGUGAAGAGGGACAGAGAACCUGUGGCUGACUGGGAUAGUCAGGGGAGGAGGGCUUCCCGGACGAGCUACGAUUGAGCCAUGUGAUUCUUUUACGAGUAGGGAGAGGCAUGGAGAGGGAACUCUAGACGGAGCGAUGAAAGACGGGACAGUACAAGUCAUUGCUGGGCACAGAGAAUGAAUCAGUUUUGCAUUGAAAGGUGAUGAAAAGGUAGUUUGAGGUUAGGGCACCAAAGGCCUUCAAACAUAAGGCUAAGCACAGACAGCUUUGGAAAAAUUAACCAUUACAAGUAUGAUUGUGUCAGGAGGAUUCUAUUCUGGCUUUUCUAGAACUGGAGGCUUGUGGAUAUAGGCCAAUGACUUUAGGAUGUCCUCCAUGCUUUAGUAUAUAGUGCUGGCUGGCCCUGAACAACAUUAAAAAAACAUUUUUUUAAGUAUCUGAGAGGUAACCAGGUAGCAUGGCAUUAUAUUGACAGCUGAACUACAAAGCAGGAAAGCUUAUUUUAUGGUAGCUGUCCAUCUGUAUCUUUCUGAAUUUAUGUGUAGAACGAAUCCCUGGUAAAUCCCAAGAUGCUUCUCUCUAUGCUAAAAAGUGGCUCAUAAAUGGUGUUGAAUUCUUUGUAAAACUCACCAAUCUCAACAGAAUUUCUGGUUCUGGAAAAGAAGGAUCUUCUCUGUUUAUUUUCUGUAGAAAACGACCACUUAGGAAUAGUCCACUCUCUAUUAUGUGUAACAAUAGAAAGACAUUCUUCUCUGGAUGGUAUAAAACAAUGACUCAUCCCAAGCCAUCUCUUGGAAUUAAGAAUGUAAUCAUAAUACACCCAUAAAUGCCCAUGUAUACAUGCUUAGGCAGUCCCAUUCUGCCUUCCUUUUUAUUACUCCCUCUUACCCCAUUGUGGUUUAGCUUGACUAACCUAUUUGCAGCACAUUAACAUUCUUAGUACAAAACUUUUGCAGCCUCUGAUAGGAAAAAAAAGAGGUGUGGAGAUGUCAGAUUUCAUCUCUGACACUGUUUCUUAAACUAUAUUAGAGAUGUAUUUUUUAAAAAAAACAUAGUAACCAUUUUCGGUUGACUCCUCUAACAUAAUUUAAUGAAGGGAGGUUAUCUGCCUUGGGCUUCUUCCAUAGAAACAGCAUUUAAACACUUAAAGGAAAAAUUAAAGAGCGCAGUGGCCUUGGGGACAGCGAGUGGGAGCAUGGACAGCAUAGGAUUUAAUAAGCUGACAGAGGAGAGAGGAAUCCCACGCUAAGUGGAGACAGCCCUGGUGAUGUCAUAGGCAAGGACUGGGAAGAGGGGGGGUAUAGGCGGAGAAAAGAGAAAAGUCAAUAGGUCUUGCAUACCUCACCCUCAACAUCCCUGAGAACAUGACAGGCAAGCCCUCUUGUCUCCGGUUUAUCAGCUCUCUCCUCGUAGGGGUUCCUGUCACACAGCUUUUAUCCCAGGACUGGAAAAGUUAGGCCAUAUGGGCUUCAGAGGUAAAGUUUUGUGGGAUUGGUCAAUGCUGAUCUGGAAGUUGAGCAGCAAACGAAAAUGGUACCAUAUCAGCAUUAAAACAAAAUCGCUGAAGUAAGUGUUCUUGAAGAGUAAUUGAACACCCGGUUGGAUGAAGAUUUAGAUCCAAAGAGAAAAUUUUUAGGAUGAUGAGUAAAUUAUUGUUAUUUUGAAAAGUUUUGAUGUUUAUUUUUGAGAGAGAGAGAGAGAGAGAGAGUUAGGGAGGGGCAGAGAGAGAGGGAGACACAGAAUCCAAAGCGGGCUCCAGGCUCUGAGCUAUCAGAACAGAGUCCGACGCGGGGCUCGAACUCACAAACCAUGAGAUCAUGACCUGAGCUGAAGUCAGACCCUCAACCGGCUGAGCCACCCAGGUGCUCCAGGAGUAAAUUAUUAAGUGGGAAUUUCUAAAAGAUUCUGGUACAGAUGUUAGAGCAUGCUAAAAAGUAUACUUAGAUUGACAACCUGUAGAGCAACUGGGACUAUUCUCGUAAUUAUGAAAUGGUACAUUUUAAAUAAUAAAUCUCGACUUUGUACACCAUAGGUUCUUAAAAAUACCAGUUGAUAUCUUUGUCUUCCUACCUUUAUUCCGUCUAAUUUUGGAAUAAUUUAUUUCUGGGUUGCCUUCUGUGGUCUUGGUAGAAUUGCGGAUUUUACAACAUGUUUCAGGAAAGUAAUUUCAACAAAUGUAAGAUUAUCUGCAAUUUAGUUUUCUGAUUCAGCAGCCAUAACUAUUUGCCAGAUUUUUGUUGUUGUCGUUUGUUUAUUUAACCCUUACCAACAAGAUUUUGAGUAGUUCUGGAAUUUGAGAUUAACAUAUUUGUAGUAAAGAAACCAGUGUCACUUUCUGCAGGAAGAGUGGUUUUUUUUUUUUUAAUGUAUGUAAAUAUACAUAUGUGUAUUUAACUGAAAACAAGGUUUUUUGACUUCUCUCCAUAGAGAACUUGAGUUGAUUUUUUAUUGUUUUGCCUUUCUCUCCUUCCUCCUUUGUUUCUGUAUUAGCAGAUUUAGAGUUUGCAAGGAUCUAAUAGAAAAAGCAAAGAAUUUGGAGUCAGAAAGUACGAGGCUCCGGAUUCUGGCUUGAUGGUAGCUGGGCAAGUUACUUAGCCUUUCUGACCCUCAGAAUCCUCACCUGUAAAAUAGGAUAGUAUCACUCAUCUCUUGCGGGUUUUUGUAUGGAUUAAACCAGGGGGAGAAAAGUGCUUAGCAAUAAAGGUUAGUUUGUUUCCCUUUGGCAGUCUUUUAAGCUUCAGGGUCCAAUUUUCUACUUGUUUUAGAAUAAAUCCGAAUUUUAUGGUUAUAUUUCCAUAUUUUUCUUCAAAGUCAGGCUUUUUUAUGUGUCUUCCUCCCAAUUUUUAAAGCUGGGUUUUCUGUCUGCUACUCUGUUUCUUUCUAACUUACGUUUUCUGUAAGGUAUGUAUUAGUUAUUGAAGUAUCUUUGAAAGAAAAAUGGUGUGCAUUUUUUAGUGGGGACCAUUGAACAACUUCACAAAAUGGUUAACUCACAUUCUAAACUCUUAGAGUGUGCCUCAUGUCAAAUUUCUUAAAAAAAAAAAGUUAUCUAAAUCUAUUUAUUGUGAUAAACCAUAUUGUGAUAUGUGAUUAUCAUUAUUGUGAUACACCAUAACAUAAUUGUGAGACGUGGGGGGGUGCUGUAAAGAUACAACUUUGCUUAGGAUCCUUACCACACAAGAGCCUGUGAUUGAAUGUACAUUGGCAUGGGCACCUAUGGACAUUCCCCCCCCCACCAUAUUCAGUAUAGAUCUGUUGGUUUGAAUUGAUGAGGAACAGGAGAAGGGUUUUGGUGAAGAGAAAGCAAAUGGGCUUAUAUUUAAAAUCUAAGGUUGUUGGGUUUUUUUUUUAAUGUUUGUUUAUUUUUGAGAGAGACAGAGUGUGAGCAGAGAAGGGGCAGAGAGAGGGAGAACAGAAUCAGAAGCAGGCUGCAGGCUCCGAGCUGUCAGCAUAGAGCCCGACGCAGGUCUCCAAUUUAUGAACCAUGAGAUCAUGACCUGAGCCGAAGUCGGACCUUAACCGACUGAGCCACCCAGACACCCCUAAAUUCUCAGUUUUAUCAUAGAUACUUAAUUCACCAUAUUAUUAUUUUUCAUCCCUUUGCUUUCAGUAGGAAGCUAUUGCUGCUGUGAUAGAGCAUGGGCCAGAGGGAAAUACUAUGGGAUUGAUGGCAUUCUAGUGAAUUGUGGAUGAGCUCAAAUUCUAGAGUUAGACUGAGCUCAAAUUCUAGAUCCAUCAUUUACUAGCUGUGUGACUUUGGGUGAGUUAUUUAACCUCUGUCUACCUAAAUUUCCUUAUCUGUAAAAGGAGGCUAAUAAAUUGCACCCACCUUUGGGGUUGUUAAGAGGAUUAAAGGAGAUAAUGCACUUAAGUGCUUAAUAGAGUGCUUGGCACAUAAGCUUUCAGUAAGUGUUAGCUAUUAGUAUUUUUUUAUUUGUUCCCAGUGCUUCAUCCUUUGUCUUAUAUUCUGGAUAUUAUAUAGUAAAAAAGGAGAGGAAGUCAUUGUACAAUCUUCUGAAAACUGAUCUCAGCGACAUAGUAGGAAAGAUGUUGGAUUGUGAUCUAAGAGUUUUGGGUUCCAAUCCUGGCUUUAACGGUAACUGGUUGCGUGAGACUUGGGCAACUCUUUCAGUUUCCUUACCAAUGAAAUUGUGGUAGCUAUUCUAUAUGUCUCUAACAUGCCUUCCAUUGCCCAAGCCUUAGGACAUUAAGUUUAUCAACAAGUCUUUGGUUUGGGACCUCUUCAUUACCUCAUAGCCUGUGACCUUGUUUCCUUUCUCAUUGUCCAGUAGGAAUUGGACCAGAGCUGGUGGAAGGUGGGAUGAGGAGAGGAGCUAAGAGUUUCACUGGUUGGAAUGUUAUUGCCAGGCGGGAAGAAGUGCUCUUGUGACUUUUAAGAUUAGAAGGAAAGAAUUGAUUCAGGUCUUAAUUAAUAGUAUUAUUCUGUCAUUUCCACCUUCCACCAUUUUAUUAUUAUAUUUUGUCAGAAUUGAUUAGCAAAAUGCAUUUACCCAGGGGUUGUCAGGGUUCCUGUUUGUAAGGUCCAAACAACAUUGUUAGUUACUUCAAUCAAUGUAUGCCCCUAAGGGUAGAUUCACCGAAUUUACCUGUCAAAGCUUAAUUAAGGACAAGCUCCAGGUUGAGUUCAGGCUACUCAAAUUCAGGGUUACGUUCUGUCCGUUUUGCUUCUAAUCAAUGGGUGGUAGGAUGUCAUUUGGAGAGGAUUUUGAAUAUUUGCAAUUUCUGAGGUGGCAUUUUGCUGCUUAAUAAGUACCUUAGUGUGAUUUCUUACUUCGUUUGGUUUUCUUUCUCCACAAUUUCUGUAGAUGCCCAGAUGAAGGCAAUAGCACCUGGAUAAUCAGAGCAUAUCCUUUGGAGCAUUUGUUGCUAACGUGUAGUUUUUGAGCAAUGCUUGGCAACUGAAAUGGGAAUCUUGUAUUCCUCUUUCAUAGAUGAGUCUGUUAAUAAGUAGGUUGCUCUGCCUUUCAAUUCUGAGCUUGAGUUGUUUCUUUUUUGUAUGUGGAAUUCGUAACCCUCUUUGAUGUCGACCUUCUGUAAAGCAAACAAUAGCUGCAGGAGCAAAAUCCAAGUAACAGUAAUAAUUGUUUGUGUUUAUAAUGUGCUUACCGUGUACCUGGCAUUGUGUUGAAUAUAUUAUUUUAUGAAAUCCCAAGAACAACCCUGUGAGCUAGGUACUUCUGUCGUCUCUAUAUUACAUGAAGGAAAUUGUGAUUGAAGAUGUUAAACAAAUUGUGCCAAGUGCAAGACUGAUAGUAAGUCGUGGAGCUUGAUUUCCAAGCCAGAUCUGCCUGAGCCAAGGCUUUCUUUUAUGUUGUCCUUCACUAAAGACUCACUGAACAGAAAUGAAAGAGUGCUGGGCACAUGCCACGCGGUUAAUUCUAUAUAAAUCCGGUCAGAUUCUGAAUAGUGUCGACCUGGUAGAGUCAGUGUGAAUUUCUCAUCAUAACAAGAGACUUAACGUGGCAAAAGCCAAUAUCCUAAGAAAGGAGAUGUUAAUGCGCCGUGCAGACUGCCGUUUUUGGGGGGAGGGUUGUUGUUGUCGGUUAUUGCUCUAGCAACUACCACAAAGGCAGCAUUUACUUGACAAGCCACGUGUACUUAAGGCAGAACACUGACUGCUUUUCAUGCUGGCAGAUCCGUACUCUACCAGCACUGGCUACCUGUGAGGAAUGUGAGCAAGUUGGAUUUUAGGACAGGAAAAACACAACUUCCACCUCAUUUCACAGUAGGGUUCACUUCGGGAUACAGACUUUUUGGUGGCAGCGACUGUUACCUUCUGCUUAUGAUUUCUGAUACUUGCAGAAUACUUACCUGGCAGAUACUGUCAGAUGACAGGCCCUCCUCCUUCCUACAUGUUCUUCAUGAGAGAAGUGCUAGUUGCAAGCGUUUUAUUACAUUAGAAUUCUACUUAAUGCCGCUUUAGCUUAGAGUGUGUUUGUUAUGAAGUCAGGAUCGUGACAUGUUCUUUUUUCCUCUUGUUCUUCCUGAGUCUGGUGUUCUUUCCCUCAGUAAUGGACUAAGAUGCAAGUGUGUUGUGAAGAAGGAGAAUUUCUUGCCCAGAUGGACCCCAGUGAAAGUAACUUCCGUAAAGAGACUCCGCUUCUGUUUGGGAAAAUGAUCUAAGAUGCACGCAGUGCUUUUCUUUUUUAGAGACGAACACUUUAUCCUAAUAUUUGGCCACUUACAAUCAGUCUGUUGCAGAAUCAGGAAGUGUUCUAUAUGUUAGCAUGAAGUUCAAACCAUAGCCUUUAAACACUGGGAAAGGGAAUUGAGGGUAGAUGCCAAGACGGGUUUGGAAAAGGCAUGGUAAGUUCAGGAAAGUGUAAAUGGUUUCAUCCGGCCAAAGCACAGUAGCAGUGUGAGGAAGUGGUAGGAGGUGAGAAAGGAUAGGUUGUGGGGACCAGACAACAGAGGAGCUUUGUAUUUUAUGCUAAGGAGUUUGGAUUUUUUCCUGUAGAUAGUGGGGAAACUUAUAAUACCUUUUUUAUUUUUUAUUUUUUGAGAGAGAGAGAGAAAAAGAGGGUAUAAGUGAGCAAGGGGCAGAGAGAGAGAGAAUCCCAUGAGGGGCAGAGUGAGAGAGAGAGAGAGAGAGAGAGAGAGAGAGAGAGAGAGAGAGAGAGAGAGAGAAAGAAAG